rnacentral:lncRNA from 1 species
AGAAAUGUUACAAAAUCAAACUCGUAGGAAGUAAUUUGUCCAUUGACAUUUACUACGCCUCCGAAUCUCUUUAUUAAGUACAUUCUCCUUUGGUUCUUUCCAAGGUCGUUUAGACCCUUCACUUGACUAUCCGACAGUUCGGACUUAUGAACCAUAAAUCGACAUGCUUUACUAUUUGUAGCAUAUCCAAUGAACAUACAAUCCAAAGUCUUAGGUCCUAUUUU